rnacentral:tRNA from 1 species
GGGGAUUUGGCUCAAUGGUAGAGCGCUCGCUUCGCAUGUGAGAGGCCUCGGGUUCAAUCCCCGACAUCUCCA